GCGAGUGUUUCACCGGGAUAUCCAAACACGAGAAAACAAUGUAUGAAAACACGAGCGCGAAGCGCGAGUGUUUUCAUACAUUCUUUUCGAGUGUUUGGAUAUCCCGGUGAGACACCAGC